CCCUUAGAUGUCCUGGGCCGCACGCGUGCUACACUGACGCAUACAGCGAGCACUUUCCAGUUCCGAGAGGCUACUGGUAAUCAUCAAUAUGCGUCGUGAUGGGGAUAGAUCUUUGGAAUUCUGGAUCUUGAACGAGGAAUGCCUAGUAAUCGCAGGUCAUUAGCCUGCGAUGAUUAAGUCCCUGCCCUUUGUACACACCGCCCGUCGCUACUACCGAUUGAAUGAUUUAGUGAGGACUUCGGACUGGGACCGAUGCGGCUUUCGGGCUGCGUCGGUAUUCUGGAAAGAUGUCCAAACUGUAUCAUUUAGAGGAAGUAAAAGUCGUAACA
rnacentral:rRNA from 1 species